GGAGAGGUACCGAAGUGGUCGUAACGGGGGCGCCUCGAAAGCGUCUUGUCCGAAAGGGCACGUGGGUUCGAAUCCCACCCUCUCCGCCA
rnacentral:tRNA from 5 species